UGGUGGUGGGUUGAAGUGGAAGAAGAUGAAAAGUUGGAAUUGGAAGAAAUAAUAGAAUAAUUAAUCCUUAUAAUCGAUCUAUCAAUUGCUAAUAUUGGCCGUUGAAAGCAAAAGUUUAAAUCCCCAAAUCAUAAUUAAAACCUGCAAAAAUUUAAAAUCAUCCCCAAUUUAUGAAAUUGGAUUCAAAUCACAAGACAAACACCAAAUCAAUUUCAACAUGACACAAACUCGUCUCGUCGAUCUAUAUAGCAAGGAAUGGAUUAAGAUUGUUGGUAUAACUCAUGGUGGUUGUUGGAGAAGAGAAAAAGAUUGCAGAUGAAAAAAAACAAUCAAGAUAGAAGAGAGAAAGGUCACAACUUUUGGGAAAAAUUGGACAAGAGAGAGAGAAUCACAUGAGGGAGGUGAUAAAAUUUGGGUUUUAAUCAAAGCCAUUCAUUUCAAAUCUAAUAGUUGAGAUUUAUUCUCAUAUUCUCAUAUAA
rnacentral:lncRNA from 1 species